rnacentral:rRNA from 1 species
CCUACGGGAGGCAGCAGUGGGGGAUAUUGCACAAUGGGGGAAACCCUGAUGCAGCGACGCCGCGUAGGUGAAGAAGUAUUUCGGUAUGUAAAGCCCUAUCAGCAGGGAAGAAAGAAGACGGUACCUGACUAAGAAGCCCCGGCUAACUACGUGCCAGCAGCCGCGGUAAUACGUAGGGGGCGAGCGUUAUCCGGAUUCACUGGGUGUAAAGGGAGCGUAGACGGCCGUGCAAGCCAGGAGUGAAAGCCCGGGGCCCAACCCCGGGACUGCUCUUGGAACUGUGCGGCUGGAGUGCGGGAGGGGCAGGCGGAAUUCCUGGUGUAGCGGUGAAAUGCGUAGAUAUCAGGAGGAACACCGGCGGCGAAGGCGGCCUGCUGGACCGCGACUGACGUUGAGGCUCGAAAGCGUGGGGAGCGAACAGGAUUAGAUACCCUAGUAGUC